rnacentral:rRNA from 1 species
UACGUAGGGGGCAAGCGUUGUCCGGAUUUAUUGGGCGUAAAGAGCGUGUAGGCGGCCAUACAGGUCAGCUGUGAAAACUCGAGGCUCAACCUCGAGACGUCGGUUGAAACCAUCUGGCUAGAGUCCGGAAGAGGAGAAUGGAAUUCCCGGUGUAGCGGUGAAAUGCGCAGAUAUCGGGAAGAACACCCGUGGCGAAGGCGGUUCUCUGGGACGGUACUGACGCUGAGACGCGAAAGCGUGGGGAGCGAACAGG